GUUUACGGCCACGCCACCCUGAGCAAGCCCGAUCCCAUCUGAUCUCGGCAGCUCUAAGCAGGGGGGCCUGGGUAGUACUUGGAUGGGAGCCCACCUAGGAAGACCAGGUUGUGUAGGCG
rnacentral:rRNA from 1 species